rnacentral:lncRNA from 1 species
GUGUGCAAGAGUGUUUCUGCAUCUCACUCUGGGCUCUUCUUCCUCCACUGCUCCUUUUUUUGGGGUUCCCCACGGUUUUCGGUGGAGAUGGGAAGCAGAGGCCGCAGCAGUGCAGCCCCAGCUGUCACAGAGAGCAGAAUCUCCACAGAGCGCCCGAAGGUUCCAGAAGGUUCCAGAGGGGCAGUUGGGCUGGGAUGGCGGCAAGGCUGCAGCGCUGGGUGCCAAACCAUCGUUUGUUGCUUAGUUUUUAAUUAUUUUUAUAUUUAUGAGGAAAAAUUGCCCUCACACAGUAGCCUCAGUGCUACAGUCAGGAUUCACCUCCACACCGAGCUGCGGGCACAAACCCGCCGGGAACACCACCACCAGGAUGCAAAUCUGAAUAAACUCUGCAAAACACCUGGGGACUCUGAAGCAACCGGUCCAUUCUGGGCACUUCUAUUUCUUCUGUAUAACCAAGCUGUGCAGCAACUUGCAGAACAGAGACCUGGUUUCACACGGACUCUUGGUGAGGGAGAUGAGCCUGCAGACACCAACAAACAGCUGAACACGAUCAAAAGCUACAGUCAAUGA